CAACUUCUCCAAAAAACCAGGGGUAAGUCUGCGUACAUUAUGACCCUCCCCAGGCCUCGCAGUGGCAGAAGCCUGGUGCACUGGAUACGCCCCUU